rnacentral:rRNA from 1 species
UACAGAGGGUGCAAGCGUUAAUCGGAAUUACUGGGCGUAAAGCGUGCGCAGGCGGUUAUGUAAGACAGGUGUGAAAUCCCCGGGCUUAACCUGGGAACUGCAUUUGUGACUGCAUAGCUAGAGUACGGUAGAGGGGGAUGGAAUUCCGCGUGUAGCAGUGAAAUGCGUAGAUAUGCGGAGGAACACCGAUGGCGAAGGCAAUCCCCUGGACCUGUACUGACGCUCAUGCACGAAAGCGUGGGGAGCAAACAGG